rnacentral:rRNA from 1 species
GACAGAGGGUGCAAACGUUGUUCGGAAUUACUGGGCAUAAAGAGCACGUAGGCGGUUCAUCAAGUCGUGCGUGAAAUCCCCCGGCUCAACCGGGGAAUUGCGUUCGAUACUGACGAACUUGAGAUCGGUAGGGGUGAGUGGAACUCCAGGUGGAGCGGUGAAAUGCGUAGAUAUCUGGAGGAACACCGGUGGCGAAAGCGACUCACUGGACCGACACUGACGCUGAGGUGCGAAAGCUAGGGUAGCAAACGGG